rnacentral:lncRNA from 1 species
CUAAACAACACCUGCAAAUUGUUCUCCUUUACCAAGGACUAUUUGAGUUCCUUCUUAUGCUUUCCCAGGCCAAAGUGAGAAGCCUGUGUGACUUGGUUUCACACAGGCUCUGUUCUCUGCUUGCUUUUUGCAUUUAGUAUCCACACUGGCACAGCCCAGAGGAAUUAUCCCCAGCAGGAUCAGGACACUCGGCUACUACCCUGCUGGGGCCCCUUCGUGGGAGACACAUCCCAAAACCUGGCAGUGGCUGCAAAAGGGUGCCCAUGAUUGGGAUCAGGACAUGGAUUAUCUCGAAGCCCUGGCACUUAACAGUUUCAAGCUCUUGGAGGAUGCUGAAGCUGAACCUGUUAAUGAAGGUGAUCUGGCUAACCAUCCCAUGUCCAGGACUGAGCCUCUGGGAUCCAGGAGCGAUUCUCUGGGAGAUGGUGAGGGUACGUCACGGCUUUUCCCUCUGGGAGAGCUGCCAGCUCAGAGCCAAAAGGUCAGCCCCAAGAAACGGGACUCAUGCACCAAUGUCCCUCCUGCUUCAGCUGUUCCCAGAGCUGGCCAUGAGCAUCCAGAGGCCCAAGGCACAGGAGCAGCCCCAAGUGGGAGCCCUGCCAUGAGCCCAGGGCCACAGCCAGCCCUGGCUCCCAACUGGGCAGAGCUGGCACUGGCUCCUGACAGGGCCUGGCUCUGUCCCCUUGGGCUGGGGGAGCUGUCGCAGAGCAGGGAGGGUCAGGGGUGGCAGUGGCUGCUCAGGGAUGGCUUUGGCCUGAGUCCCUGGAAGGAGCCACUGCCCAAGCAGCUGUGCUGUCCCUGGGCUCUGCUCCUGGCCUUCUGGGCUCUGCUGGGGGGCACAGCCUGUGCCAAGGGGCAGCAAGGUGCCUGCAGGCCCCAGCUCUGGGGGAAACAGAGAACAUCCAGGCCAUACCCAGCGUGCUGCCAGCUCAGCAGUGGAGCACAGCACGGGCUCACACUGCACAUUGCUUCCGUAGAUGGAGCCGGCACCACAAGUCAUGUUCCUGAUUCCCGGAAGGGCACCGAAACAGGUUUCUGUCAGGGAACACUCUGCUGGCUGGAGAUAACAGCCAUGGUGGCUGGUGGAGAGCUUGUCAUCAUGUUGUGCUGCUUUGGAAUCUGCUAUGCCUGCAAGAGAAAACGGUGAGUGUUUUGUUCCUCUUUCCCUCAAACAGCGUCUUUAGAAAGUCUGUUGUAGACAGGAAAUAUUCUCAGUGAGACUGCUGUGGACUUGUGGGGAGUCAGUGGCUGCCCAAAUAACUCUGCUAAGAUUUCUGCUGCUGCCCAGGGCUUUCUUUGGCCUCUUCAUUGCGGGGCCUUGUCCUGGGGAGCCCACUCGGGCUGCAGCCAGUGCUGGCUGCCACUGAGGCUGCCUGGCCAAGAGCAGCCCCAGGAGCAGCAGGCAGAGGCAAAGCAAGGUGUGAAGGAAGAAGAGAGGGGAAGAGAUUGGCCUUGAAAGGCAGAGGCACUCUGGGGCCCACUUCUGUCCAGGGACCCUGCCCAGAGCCAUCCCCUGCUUGCUGGGUCCUUGAGGGGCAGCUGUCCAGCUGGGCCAAGCUGUGCCAGCAGCUCCAGCCGUGCUGGGGAGCCUUGGCCGCUCUGGGCCCUGCUGUGCAGGAGGGGCCCUGUGUGCCAGCGGCAGCUGGGGGCCUCAGACAUCUCUUCUCUCAACAGGCACCUCCUUGAAGAAAAGCUGAAAGCUGGUGGCUGGUCCCAAGACCUCUACAGCCCGAAGAGCUACAGCAGCAGCUCUGACACUGACGAGUUUAUAUUUGCACCUUCAAGCUUUGUGAUGCUUUGAGAGGACAGGCCCAGCCCUCCAUCCAAGCCAAAAUUCCCCAGGAAAGGAAUUGGAAUUGGAAGCCUUCAACUGAACCAUGACUGAGAGCUGCCAAAAUCACGUCUUCUGUUCCAAUAAAUAGAUGUAGCUCCCACCCCA